rnacentral:rRNA from 1 species
UACGUAGGUGGCGAGCGUUGUCCGGAAUCACUGGGCGUAAAGAGCGCGCAGGCGGCUGGUCAAGUCCGAUGUGAAAUCUCCCGGCUUAACUGGGAAAUUGCAUCGGAAACUGAUCGGCUUGAAGGUGGGAGAGGGUAGCGGAAUUCCCGGUGUAGUGGUGAAAUGCGUAGAUAUCGGGAGGAACACCAGUGGCGAAGGCGGCUACCUGGCCCAUUCUUGACGCUGAGGCGCGAAAGCUAGGGGAGCAAACGGG